rnacentral:lncRNA from 1 species
AUGCGUGUGGGAUGCAAGGUGUUGUAUGGGGAUGUGGAGAUGAUGCAUGCAUGGGAUGUAGGGCUGCAAGGACAAAUUGUACCCGGGGGUGCCGCCGCCUCCCGUAUGUACCCCCCCCCGCCCCCAAAAAAUGGGGAGAUUUGGGUAGUUCAGGGGGAUUCGGGGCCGCGCUCGUGGCCCCAGAGCCAUCGGGGGCCAGGACCUGCCUGGGGGUGUCCCACAAAAGGGCUGAGGGGCCGCCCCCCCCCGCCCCGAGCCCCGGCGCUGUUGUUGUUCCAAACCUGCUGGUUUCUGGCCAGAAAAGGCGAGGAAAAAAAAAAAAAACACCACCCAACUCUAGGAUUUUUUUUUUUUUUUCCCUUUUCCGUAGUUGUCUCCGCGUCCAAACUUCCUGAGAGCGGCUCCGGGCCCUCCCUCUGCUUCCGACGGCCGCGCUGCGCCUCCCAGCCCACGGGGGUCCGGGUCCCGGCCCGCUGGGGGUCCUGGUCCCAGCCCGGAGGGGGUCCCGGUCCCGUCCCGGAUGGCGCUGCGGGCCGCGGCGCUGGUGGUGCACGCCUGCCUCCUGGCCGCCCUCCAGCCCGGAGACCCCAACGUCUGCAGCUACUGGGAGAGCUUCACGGCGGCAGUGAAGGAGUCGUACG